rnacentral:rRNA from 1 species
AGUGAACGCUGGCGGUAGGCCUAAUACAUGCAAGUCGAACGGCAGCACAGUAAGAGCUUGCUCUUACGGGUGGCGAGUGGCGGACGGGUGAGGAAUACAUCGGAAUCUACUUUUUCGUGGGGGAUAACGUAGGGAAACUUACGCUAAUACCGCAUACGACCUACGGGUGAAAGCAGGGGAUCUUGGGACCUUGCGCGAUUGAAUGAGACGAUGUCGGAUUAGCUAGUUGGCGGGGUAAAGGCCCACCAAGGCGAGGAUCCGUAGCUGGUCUGAGAGGAUGAUCAGCCACACUGGAACUGAGACACGGUCCAGACUCCUACGGGAGGCAGCAGUGGGGAAUAUUGGACAAUGGGCGCAAGCCUGAUCCAGCCAUACCGCGUGGGUGAAGAAGGCCUUCGGGUUUUAAAGCCCUUUUGUUGGGAAAGAAAAGCAGCAGAUUAAUACCCCGCUGUUCUGACGGUACCCAAAGAGAAAGCACCGGCUAACUUCGUG